rnacentral:rRNA from 1 species
AAACCAACCGGGAUUGCCUUAGUAACGGCGAGUGAAGCGGCAAAAGCUCAAAUUUGAAAUCUGGUACCUUCGGUGCCCGAGUUGUAAUUUGGAGAGGGCAACUUUGGGGCCGUUCCUUGUCUAUGUUCCUUGGAACAGGACGUCAUAGAGGGUGAGAAUCGCCGUG